AACGGCGAGGAUGCCAACAGGAUACGGACUUAAGGAUAAGGGUCAGGAGCGCCAGGAGGCGAAGACUCAGGAUAGUCAGGAUGACGAACGCCUGGAGGCGUUUAAAAGGAAAGGGAACAUAUCACGGACGGUAUCUGCUAACGGAAAAACAGGGUUUGUUGAAGGCAUACACGGAACGUGAGACCCGAUAAGGGUAAGAGUCAGGAAAAAAGGCGACAGAUUGCUCUGUCGCCUUUUUUCUUUGCUUGCUU
rnacentral:sRNA from 1 species